rnacentral:rRNA from 1 species
GACGAACGCUGGCGGCGUGCUUAACACAUGCAAGUCGAACGGAAAGGCCCUGCUUGCAGGGUACUCGAGUGGCGAACGGGUGAGUAACACGUGGGUGAUCUGCCCUGCACUUCGGGAUAAGCCUGGGAAACUGGGUCUAAUACCGGAUAGGAGCCAUUUUUAGUGUGAUGGUUGGAAAGUUUUUUCGGUGUAGGAUGAGCUCGCGGCCUAUCAGCUUGUUGGUGGGGUAAUGGCCUACCAAGGCGGCGACGGGUAGCCGGCCUGAGAGGGUGGACGGCCACAUUGGCACUGAGGUACGGCCCAGACUCCUACUGGUGGCAGCAGUGGGGAAGAUUGCACGAUGGGCGCAAGCCUGUUGCAGCGACGCCGCGUGGGGGAGGACGGCCUUCGGGUUGUAAACUCCUUUCGCUAGGGACGAAGCUUUUUGUGACGGUACCUAGAUAAGAAGCACCGGCUAACUACGUG